GGGAGCUUGCUCCCGGAUGUUAGCGGCGGACGGGUGAGUAACACGUGGGUAACCUGCCUGUAAGACUGGGAUAACUCCGGGAAACCGGAGCUAAUACCGGAUAGUUCCUUGAACCGCAUGGUUCAAGGAUGAAAGACGGUUUCGGCUGUCACUUACAGAUGGACCCGCGGCGCAUUAGCUAGUUGGUGAGGUAACGGCUCACCAAGGCGACGAUGCGUAACCGACCUGAGAGGGUGAUCGGCCACACUGGGACUGAGACACGGCCCACACUCCUACGGGAGGCAGCAGUAGGGAAUCUUCCGCAAUGGACGAAAGUCUGACGGACCAACGCCGCGUGAGUGAUGAAGGUUUUCGGAUCGUAAAGCUCUGUUGUUAGGGAAGAACAAGUGCAAGAGUAACUGCUUGCACCUUGACGGUACCUAACCAGAAAGCCACGGCUAACUACGUGCCAGCAGCCGCGGUAAUACGUAGGUGGCAAGCGUUGUCCGGAAUUAUUGGGCGUAAAGGGCUCGCAGGCGGUUUCUUAAGUCUGAUGUGAAAGCCCCCGGCUCAACCGGGGAGGGUCAUUGGAAACUGGGAAACUUGAGUGCAAAAAAGGAGAGUGGAAUUCCACGUGUAGCGGUGAAAUGCGUAUAGAUGUGGAGGAACACCAGUGGCGAAGGCGACUCUCUGGUCUGUAACUGACGCUGAGGAGCGAAAGCGUGGGGAGCGAACA
rnacentral:rRNA from 1 species